UACGUAGGGCGCAAGCGUUGUCCGGAAUUAUUGGGCGUAAAGAGCUCGUAGGCGGCUUGUCACGUCGGAUGUGAAAGCCCGGGGCUUAACCCCGGGUCUGCAUUCGAUACGGGCAGGCUAGAGUGUGGUAGGGGAGAUCGGAAUUCCUGGUGUAGCGGUGAAAUGCGCAGAUAUCAGGAGGAACACCGGUGGCGAAGGCGGAUCUCUGGGCCAUUACUGACGCUGAGGAGCGAAAGCGUGGGAGCGAACAGG
rnacentral:rRNA from 1 species